rnacentral:rRNA from 1 species
UGGGAGAGGUUCGUUCAAUACUGCCGGGCUAGAGGAUGAGAGAGGAAGGUUGGAAUUCCAGGGUGUAGUGGGUGGGAAUGCGUAGAUUAUCCCUGAGGAACACCAGUGGCGAAGGCGGCCUCCUGGCUCCAUUUCUGGACCGUAAGACGCGAAAGCUAGGGGUAGCCAAACGGGAUUAGAGACCCCCGGUAGUCCUAGCUGUUAAACGAUGUAGACUUGGCGUUGGUGGGGUAAAAUCCAUCCAGUGCUGUAGCUAACGCGAUAAGUCUACCGCCUGGGGACUACGAUCGCAAGAUUAAAACUCAAAGGAAUUGACGGGUCCCCGCACAAGCAGCGGAGCGUGUGGUUUAAUUCGAUGAUACGCGAAGAACCUUACCAGGGUUUGACAUGUAGGUGGUAGGGAUCCGAAAGGUGACCGACCCUUCGGGGAGCCUUCACAGGUGCUGCAUGGCUGUCGUCAGCUCGUGUCGUGAGAUGUUCGGUUAAGUCCGCUAACGAGCGCAACCCUCGUCGUGUGUUACAUGUGUCCACGCGAGACCGCCGGUUUCAAGCCGGAGGAAGGUGAGGAUGACGUCAAGUCAGCAUGGCCUUUAUAUCCUGGG